CGAGUAUAGUGACCUACCUAAAUGAAGGACGUUUCACGUGGCGUCAUGAUUCGGUGCUUAACUUCAUAGCAUCCAUACUUAAAUCUGUGAACCAUUGUAACCUUUAUGCUGACCUUCCUGGCUAUAUCAGUCCAUCUGUUAUCACCGGAGAUGAAUUGCGCCCUGAUCUUUUAAUAACACUUCAAAACAAAUGUAUUUAUAUACUUGAACUUACCGUCGGAUUUGAAUCUAAUCUCCUCACUAAUGCAACUCGAAAAAGACAAAAAUAUCAAGAUCUAAUUAACGAACAGCUCAAAAAUUAUGACAAAGUGAAAUUUGUAAAUUUAUCGAUUAGCUCAUUAGGAGUUUUCAGCCACACGUCGCUAGAUUUCACCGAAAUGCUGAAGGAUCUAAAGUUUGAUGAACAAUGUAGAAAGUACUAUGUUCGGAAAAUUAUUAACAUAUGUAUCAGGUCCUCGUAUUAUAUAUUCUGUAAGCGUAACAAAGAAUGGGAGAACCCACAACUAAUG